AGAGUUUGAUCCUGGCUCAGAUUGAACGCUGGCGGCAGGCCUAACACAUGCAAGUCGAGCGGAUGAAGGGAGCUUGCUCCUGGAUUCAGCGGCGGACGGGUGAGUAAUGCCUAGGAAUCUGCCUGGUAGUGGGGGAUAACGUCCGGAAACGGGCGCUAAUACCGCAUACGUCCUGAGGGAGAAAGUGGGGGAUCUUCGGACCUCACGCUAUCAGAUGAGCCUAGGUCGGAUUAGCUAGUUGGUGGGGUAAAGGCCUACCAAGGCGACGAUCCGUAACUGGUCUGAGAGGAUGAUCAGUCACACUGGAACUGAGACACGGUCCAGACUCCUACGGGAGGCAGCAGUGGGGAAUAUUGGACAAUGGGCGAAAGCCUGAUCCAGCCAUGCCGCGUGUGUGAAGAAGGUCUUCGGAUUGUAAAGCACUUUAAGUUGGGAGGAAGGGCAGUAAGUUAAUACCUUGCUGUUUUGACGUUACCAACAGAAUAAGCACCGGCUAACUUCGUGCCAGCAGCCGCGGUAAUACGAAGGGUGCAAGCGUUAAUCGGAAUUACUGGGCGUAAAGCGCGCGUAGGUGGUUCAGCAAGUUGGAUGUGAAAUCCCCGGGCUCAACCUGGGAACUGCAUCCAAAACUACUGAGCUAGAGUACGGUAGAGGGUGGUGAAAUUUCCUGUGUAGCGGUGAAAUGCGUAGAUAUAGGAAAGGAACACCAGUGGCGAAGGCGACCACCUGGACUGU
rnacentral:rRNA from 2 species